rnacentral:rRNA from 1 species
AGCUCCAAUAGCGUAUAUUAAAGUUGUUGCAGUUAAAAAGCUCGUAGUUGGAUUUCUGGCGUCGCCGCCCGGUCGGCCUCGAAAGGGGUGCGUACUCGUUGGCGCGCGUCGCCAUCCUCGGGGGAAGGUCGUCUGGCAUUAAGUUGUCGGACGUUCGACGCUCGUCGUUUACUGUGAACAAAUUAGAGUGUUCAAAGCAGGCUUAGGCCGUUGAAUACAUUAGCAUGGAAUAAUGAGAUAGGACUUUGGUGGUCUAUUUUGUUGGUUUGCACGCCG